AUCAGGCUUAGGCAACUAGCUACCAUUUCUCCUUUACUUCUCAGACAGAGAUACCCCAAUACAACACUGACUUCCUGCUCCUAUUGUAAUUGAAACAGUCACUCACUUUUAGAAGCAAACAGUCAUUCUUUCUAUUGCAAUGCUUGUUUACUUGCUUAAAAAUUUCAGGAAUUAGCCUUGAGAUAAAACCAAGAUGGUAAAACACUCUCCUGAAGAAAAUGCUGAGCAGCUACUUGGGUCAUGAUCUUUCCUUCCAUAAAGAAGGAUCAGGCCAAGAUGCAGAGACAAGGGACCUAUGCUGUGAACCAUUUCACAAGAAAGGAAUGGAGGCAUUGUAUGGGCCCCUCCUUGAGGGAAACAAGCAUGAGGCAGGUCAGGAAAAGAAGGAAAGAGGCAGAACUUCCAAAGAACAGUUUCAGUGGCUGAUGGUCACCAGAAUGAUGUAACUUCUCAGUGCUUUUCCUGCUUUGUAUAUUUCCAG
rnacentral:lncRNA from 10 species